rnacentral:antisense_RNA from 3 species
AAGAGCACGACAUUGCUCACAUUGCUUCCAGUAUUGUUGCCCGCCUGAUGGCGGGCUUUUUUU